rnacentral:rRNA from 1 species
AUGUAUUCUGCUGAUGUAGCACGGCCCUCUUUUGUUGGACUGUUGCUUCAAUACCAUAUAACUGGAAUUAACCCAUGCAAGUCGAAGAAGGAUUGGCCGGUGCUGCCGGCUGGCGUCAAGUUCGAUCCCACGGAUCAGGAGCUGAUCGAGCACCUUGAGGCCAAAGUGAGUGCUGACAGUGCGAGAUCUCACCCUCUCAUCGAUUUGUUCAUACCAACCAUCGACAGCGAGCACGGCAUAUGCUACACCCAUCCUGAGAAAUUUCCAGGUAUCACACUGAGUGGCCUAAGCAAGCAUUUCUUCCAGAGCAAUUCCAGGGCGUUCAAAAGGGGCACGUGGACGCGUCGCAAGAUACGGUCGGAGUGCGGCAUGCACGCGAUGUGGCACAACACCGGCAAUACCUUGCCGGUGAUGGUCAACGGGCGGCAGACGGGCAGCAAAAAGGUUCUGGUGCUGCACACCAACAAGAACUUCGACCAACAGAGGACCAACUGGGUGAUGCACCAGUACCACCCCGGGGACCUGGAGCAAGAGAAGGAGCGGGAGCUGGUCCUCUGCAAGAUUUUCUACCAGACGAACACUAGGGCCAGGAGUAAAAAGAUUAUAAGUUAG